AAGCUUCGACUAAGGUUCGACUCGAGCGCCAGCGAGAGAGCGUUGCCGCAGGCAACGACCCGAAGGGCGAAGCGCGCAGCGCUGAGUAAUCCUUCCCCCACCACCA
rnacentral:sRNA from 1 species